rnacentral:rRNA from 1 species
AGUGAACGCUGGCGGUAGGCCUAACACAUGCAAGUCGAACGACAGCUCCGUAUCUGGUUGCUCUCGCGGGCGUAACGUGGGGGAAGGGGCCGGUAGGCAUGGGAAUAUACCCUUUAGGGGGGGCUAAUGUCGGGAAACUUAUGCUAAUCACACAUACGUCCUCCGGGUGUGAGCCGGGGAUGUUCGAGCCUUGUGGGAUGGUAUGAGCCGAUGUAGGCUUCGCUCGUUGGCGGGGCAAAGGCCAACAAAGGCCACGCUCCGUCGGUGGUCUGAGAGGAGGAUCAGCCACACGGGACCUGAGGCACGGUCCAGACCCCUACGGGAGGCAGCAGGGGGGAAUAUUGGACAAGGGGCGCAAGGCGGAUCCAGCCAUACCGCGUGGGUGAAGAAGGCCUUCGGGUUGUAAAGCCCUUUUGGUGGGAAAGAAAAGCAGCAGGUUAAUACCCCGCUGUUCUGACGGUACCCAAAGAAUAAGCACCGGCUAACUUCGUG